rnacentral:rRNA from 1 species
AUUGAACGCUGGCGGCAGGCUUAACACAUGCAAGUCGAGCGAACGGCGGGCGGGUUAGAAAUGUCUGGGCAACGGCCUGAGGGAGGGGGAUAACAACUGGUAACGAUAGAUAAUACCGCAUACCAUCAGAUGUUCCCAGAGGGGAUUAGCUAGCAGGUGGGGUAAAGGCUCCCCUAGGCGACGAUCCCGAGCUGGUCUGAGAGGAUGACAAGCCACACUGGAACUGAGAAGCGGUCCAGACUCCUACGGGAGGCAGCAGGGGGGAAUUUUGUCCAAUGGGCGGAAGCCUGAUGCAGCCAUGCCGCGUGUGCGAAGAAGGCCUUCGGGUUGUAAAGCACUUUCAGCGGGGAGGCGUUACUCGCAGAAUAAGCACCGGCGAACUCCGUGCCAGCCGCCGCGGUAAUUC